rnacentral:miRNA from 1 species
CGUGGUAUUAUUCUUGUGAAUGU